rnacentral:rRNA from 1 species
UACGGAGGGUGCAAGCGUUAUCCGGAUUCACUGGGUUUAAAGGGUGCGUAGGUGGGCAAGUAAGUCAGUGGUGAAAUCUCCGGGCUUAACCCGGAAACUGCCAUUGAUACUAUUUGUCUCGAAUACUGUGGAGGUCAGCGGAAUAUGUCAUAUAGCGGUGAAAUGCUUAGAUAUGACAUAGAACACCAAUUGCGAAGGCAGCUGGCUACACAAAUAUUGACACUGAGGCACGAAAGCGUGGGGAUCAAACAGG